UACGGAGGGUCCAAGCGUUAUCCGGAAUCAUUGGGUUUAAAGGGUCCGUAGGCGGUUUAGUAAGUCAGUGGUGAAAGCCCAUCGCUCAACGGUGGAACGGCCAUUGAUACUGCUAGACUUGAAUUAUUAGGAAGUAACUAGAAUAUGUAGUGUAGCGGUGAAAUGCUUAGAGAUUACAUGGAAUACCAAUUGCGAAGGCAGGUUACUACUAAUUGAUUGACGCUGAUGGACGAAAGCGUGGGUAGCGAACAGG
rnacentral:rRNA from 1 species